rnacentral:lncRNA from 10 species
GGGGUCUCAAUAUGUUGCCCUGGCUGGUCUUGAACUGUUGGGUUUAAAGGAUCCUUCAGCCUCCCAAAGUGCUGGGAUUAUAGGUCUGAAUCACCCUGCCUGACCCCCUCGUAAUUUUUAUAGCCUGAACUGGAAACCAAAUGGCCAUCAACAGGUGAAGGGAUAAAGAAACUUCCAUCCAUACAAUGGAAUACUACUCAGCAAGAAAAAGGAACGAACCAUUGAUAAACAAAGCAAUGUGGAUGCAUUCUGCAGACAGCAUGCUGAGGGAAGGAAGCCAGACUCAAAAGACUGUGAUCUCCUGAGGGGGACUGUCAUAGCCCAGCCCCAGCCCAGAGCCUGUCACAUAGGAUGACAUCAGGAAAUGUCUGCUAUGGAAUGAAGGCAGGGUGGCUCUAUUUCCUCUACAUGCCUCCGAGGACAACACCCAUCCUCCAAAAGAAGUGAAUUCAGAGCAAAUGCAAGGCCCAGCAUGGAAAGACUCACCACAGCAAGUAAGUAGUGGAGAUUCAUGGAUCGCCGACUUCUCACAGCAAAGACCACGGCUCCCACAAGGAACGCACAAGCAAUCAGGUCGUUGAAGAGGUCCUGAAGGUGGAGAGGUUAGUCAGCCUCAGCCAAAGCCAGGGUCCCCAUCAACAAACACUGCACCCUGGCUAGCUUCCUCCAAAGGAAUGAUUUGCAAAUUUCCACCUGAUUUUAAAAUGUAUGCAUAAAGAUAAACACACACCGGGCUAGGUGGACAUAUCUGUGGCCCUCCAGCUGGGCUUUUUAAAUUGAAACCUAAAAAGUCCAGGAUGCUAAAAUGCCCUCGUGCUGAAGCCUGUGAAGUCACCAGCCCCCUCUUCUACCAUCUCUCUGUGAAAUCACACAUUUGGUUUCUGCCUAUGUCUCCUCCCACUAAUACUCAUUUAUUAUUUUUAUUUUCUACUUUUUGAGACAGGGUCUUACUCCGAUUAUGCAGGCUGGAGUGCAGUGGCACAAUUUCUGCUCACUGCAGCCUCGACCUCCUCAGGCUCAGGUGAUUCUCCCACCUCUGCCUCCUGAGCAGCUGCGACUACAGGUGUGUGCCACCAAGCCUGCCUAAUUUUUUUUUUGUGUGUAUUUUUAGUAGAGACGGGGUUUCACCAUGUUAUCCAGGCUGGUCUCGAACUCCUGGACUCAAGCGAUCUGCCUUCCUCGGCCUCCCAAAGUGCUACGAUUACAGGUGUGGGCCACAGCGCCCAGCCAAUACACAUUUAAAUAAAUACACAACUAUAAAACGUCAUGAUGUCCCUCUUAAGGACCCCACCACCGCCUUUCAGCUCCCAGGACCAGCUCCCCUCUCUGGAGUCUGGGUGGGCUGCACUGGCUCUGAUGGACUCUAGCAUCUCACUGGGAGCCUGGCAGCUUCUUCUGCAACCCCCUGCCCUCGGCCUGACUUCCUAGACCCCUUCCCCUCUUUGCAAGGCAGCACCACCUCUUCCUUCCUCAACCCUCCUGCCCAUCCCCUGUGACUUCAGUCUCGCCCUCCCCAUACCAUAUACGCAUUUCCCUCCUGCUAGUGACAAGGCAUUGCCAAACUUCUCAGAGCUGGCCAAACCAUGGCCAUAGCAGGCUGGCUUCCUCCCGCAUUUCUCCUGGGCCUAGAGGAUGGGGUGAGAAGCAGCUGAUCCUGCAGCGCUGGAAGACACCUGCCAUCCCCCUUGGUUUCUAUAGUGCCAUUUCCUGCUGUUGUCCUUUCCUGGCCACUUUGUUUCAGGCCUUUUCCUUUUUAAUGUUUUGAAUUUUGAUACAUUUCAAAUGCCCAGAAAAUAAUAGAACAUCCUAUCCCCGACUCCCACCUCCACCAGGCCAGGAGCCACUGACAUUUAACAGAUGUUAACGUCUUGCCAACGUCCCCUUUAGGCCUCUUUGAAAACAAGAAGUCCAACUUCACGGAUGGAGCUGCAGCCCCCUCGCUUCCUUCCCUUUUCCUGUCCCUCAUGCCUCCCUCCUCCAACUUUUGGAAGCUGAUGUGCAGUUUUCCUGUCUGAAUUUGUGCUUUUCUACAUAUUAUAUAUUUAUAAACAAUGUAUACUAUUUUGUGUAUUUCAAAAUACACUUUUUAUAUUUAAAUAAAAAGUAUCCUACCUUUCAAUGCUUGCUUUUUGACUUUUGAGAUUUAUCCACAUUGAGAAAUAUAGAUUUAUUAAUUUUAACUGAUGUAGCCUACUAUAUGAAUGAACGAAAUGAGACACAGGGUGUUUCUACCACUCACUGCAGUCUUGAACUCCUGGGCUCAAGUGAUCCUCCC